AUAAAAUUGAAUGUAGGCCAAGGUUUUUGCUUUGGCAAGAGGCUGGAAGGGGGCAGACCUCAGUGGGUGAAAUACUGGAACUGUUUUCUCUGCCCUAAACCCACUGUUAGACUAUAUAUAGGGAGUGCAUAGAGGCGGGAUUAGAAGCCAUAAAGGAUACAUCGUGAUACAUAGGUACUACAUAGGGAGACAUGGGUAAUUUCAGCAUGUUGGUGGUGUGUGUUGCUGUGAUCUUCAGUCUGGUCUCAGUGAGUCAGGCGACUCCUGUUUCUCAAACCUGUGAGACUCUUCUGAAACCUCUAGAGAUGAAAACCAUAGACCCGGAGCCAGGACUUUGGUCAAAGUCCUCAUGGAUAACAUCUGGUCAGAGUUGUCACCAGGGCCACUCCCGAACAUGUUUAAAGUAACCUUUUAUGUAAAAAUGUGGGAUGGGACAUGUUCCAGUAUCAAUAUCAGUGUUGCCCUUGAAGACAACAAGCUCAACUGGACGUACAUUUUCCCUUCUUCCGCGGUCUUCCUGCCAACUUGUCCAGACUGUCUUUUGAACCAGAUUACAACCACCAUCAAUGGAAACAACUUCAUGUCUCUGGAACUCUACAUUUAUUCAUUAAAGAAAGCAUUCCUGACAUUUGGAG
rnacentral:lncRNA from 1 species